rnacentral:rRNA from 1 species
AACGAACGCUGGCGGCAGGCUUAACACAUGCAAGUCGAACGGUUGCAGCAAUGCAGCAGUGGCAGACGGGUGAGUAACACGUGGGAACCUUCCUAGGGGUAUGGAACAACUCAGGGAAACUUGAGCUAAUACCGUAUACGUCCGUGAGGAGAAAGAUUUAUCGCCCUUAGACGGGCCCGCGUCGGAUUAGCUAGUUGGUGGGGUAACGACCUACCAAGGCGACGAUCCGUAGCUGAUCUUAGAGGAUGAUCAGCCACACUGGGACUGAGACACGGCCCAGACUCCUACGGGAGGCAGCAGUGGGGAAUCUUGGACAAUGGGCGCAAGCCUGAUCCAGCCAUGCCGCGUGAGUGAAGAAGGUCUUCGGAUUGUAUAGCUCUUUUGCCAGGGACGAUAAUGACGGUACCUGGAGAAUAAGCCCCGGCAAACUUCGUGCCAGCCGCCGCAGUAA